GAUGCUUUUCACUACGAGUCUAUAAUCCAUACUAACACUUCCUUCAGUGAAAAAGUCCAUCCCUUGUUGUCCUCUCACAUCAAAAUCCA